rnacentral:lncRNA from 1 species
GCCACAACCACUGUUUUGCCGAAAAUAGUCUUCAAACAUCGCUACGAUCAAGGUGAUUAGCCUCUAACCUUCUAAUUAAUCAUUCUCUACACCCUUUCAAGCCUUUAGAUUAUGAAUUCCGGUUGGAUAGUCAUCGAAUUUAGUCAGGAUAAGGAUGUUCUGUUUGUUUGUGAUUUCCCUUAUUUUGGGGUCUUAUCGGAAAUUUCUGAGUAAAUAUGGCUCCAACUGCUGGCUCACGGCCACACCGACCUUUGGACUAGUGGUUGUCUCAAGCCAAUCCCCGAUUAUAGUCAGCAUAGAAGUUGCCUUUCCUUUGGAUGUUCCAUGGGUUGAUGCCUUGAUUUUAUUUUCCUUUUCUUGCAUCGCCAGCCACCGUUCCCCUGCCAUGCCUCGCCACCAUUCUGCAGUUGUGUCUGGCCGCCGACCUUCCA